rnacentral:rRNA from 1 species
UAGGGAAUCUUCCACAAUGGACGCAAGUCUGAUGGAGCAACGCCGCGUGAGUGAAGAAGGUCUUCGGAAUCGUAAACUCUGUUGUUAGAGAAGAACACGAGUGAGAGUAACUGUUCAUUCGAUGACGGUAUCUAACCAGCAAGUCACGGCUAACUACGUGCCAG